rnacentral:rRNA from 1 species
GAGUUUGAUUCUGGCUCAGGAUGAACGCUAGCGAUAGGCUUAACACAUGCAAGUCGAGGGGCAGCACGUAUUCAGCUUGCUGAAUAUGGUGGCGACCGGCGGAUGGGUGCGUAACGCGUAUGCAACUUACCUGUCAGAGGGGGAUAACCCGGAGAAAUUCGGACUAAUACCGCAUAUGCUUGAGAUACUGCAUGGUAUUUCAAGGAAAUAUUUAUAGCUGACAGAUAGGCGUGCGUUCCAUUAGCUAGUAGGUGAGGUAAUGGCUCACCUAGGCGACGAUGGAUAGGGGAACUGAGAGGUUAAACCCCCACACUGGUACUGAGACACGGACCAGACUCCUACGGGAGGCAGCAGUGAGGAAUAUUGGUCAAUGGGCGAGAGCCUGAACCAGCCAAUUCGCGUGAAGGAUGACUGCCCUAUGGGUUGUAAACUUCUUUAGUAGGGGAUUAAAGUUUGCCUUGCGAGGCA